UUAUAAAAACCGGUUCGUUUUUUUUCGAUAGAUUUAAAAAAAAAACAGUUCUGAAUGUGAAUCCUUAAUUUAGUAUAAACUUUGUAUAUAAGGUUCGGUGCAAUAAUUUAAAGACUAUGUGCAUCAUAAAAAUUUUCUAUCACUUACUUUCUCUUCAAUUAUUGUACUACUCUCCUGCAGCUUCAUGUAAAUCCUAUCAAUUUUCUAUCACUUUUUUUCUUUUUUUCUUUUUUCAUUACCGCUCUUUACAUUUUCAUCUUCAUUCAUCAAUUCGGAUCACCACCAAUCAUCCUCAAAAGCUUCAAAUCUGAUCAGGUUAGUUUUGGUUUCUGUUCUACUCCUGUUAUGGAUGUGAAUUACUGGAUGUAUUUCAUUAAGAGAUCUGCUUUUAAUUAGUUAUUAUUUUUUUUUGUGGAAAUUGAUUUUUACUUUUUAGAGCAACUCAACUUCCGAAAUCUGAAGUAUUAAGCCUUGAGUUUUUGAGCGCUAUAUUUUGGGUUUUAGUUAUUUUUUUUUAUUGAUUUAUCAAGUCUACUUUACUUCCUUUAUAAAUGAAACCAUAUUUGAAAUUUCCGUAGUUCUGAUAUUCUUGUAAAAUUAGCACAACAUGCUUUUAGAGUUUUGGUUCCAAAAAGCUUUUCGUAGUUUUAUACGACUAUAACUUUUAAUCUGUAUCCCAAUAUGGUUCUGAUUAAAGUUUUAAAUUCAUGAAAAAUGUUUUUCACUCACAAAUCUACUGUGAACUCUUUGGGAGGAAUAAAGUUAUAUGAAUCCAUGAAAAGCGUUUCUCGAAUAUGAACCUUUAACAUAUCCUCUUCCAUUUUAUUCCUAUAAUUUAACUUUAAGAACCAACGUCAGCGGUGGAUGCGCUUAAAAUGGAUCUGCUGCUGUGUUAGAAAAGAGGGUAGAAACAAAUAAUGAUUAUCAUUGGAUUCUUCAAGGAUUGUGUUAGUUCGCUUUCCCAAUCGAUAUUUCUCUACUCUGGGUUACCAACUCGCCUAGGGUAGUCCUUAAAAGAUCCAUCGAUUUUCUAGGCACAUAAUAUCAAUCAAGAACUAGAGAGAAUUUAGUGUGUAAAAUUCGUCUGUUUCAAAAACAAUAGAGAAAACAAUGUAACUCCACAUUCGAUCUUAACUGCAUUUGGAUAAGACAAUUUAGGGUUGAAAACCAUACAUAAUUACAUUAGAACCCCGCAUUUGAUGUUAAUGCAUUUGGUACAUCUGCCAAGGGGUGUUGCCCCUUGGAUCCCCACAAGGGGAAGUCAUUAUAUUACUUUUAUUUCUCCUUGAUAAUAUCAUUUCGAGUUUUUACAAAAUUUGAAAUUUUAUUAAAAUAAUACUUGUUCUUAAUAAUAAUCAAAUUAAUCAAAUUCAUGCUUAAAAUAUAUAUUUAUGUCUAAUAAAAUAUUGAUGAAUUGUAUUCCUAAUAGAAAUAUUAUUUUAAAAAUACAACAAAUCCAUGAAUCUAUAAAUAAUUCUAAGCAAAAUCUCAAAGAUUCCUACAAACCUCAAAAUCAAGGUACGGUUUUAAACAAUAACUAUAUUCAUGAUGUUAGAUAUUUUAUAAAAACUAGUAUUAAAAUUCGUUACAAGCAAAUACGUCAUCUAAAAACAAAAUUAUUUGUAUUUUAAAACAUAUAACUUCUAAAUAUUAAUAAGCAUUCAUUUGUACUAUUAUUUCUAUCCUUAGUAUGACCGUCUUUAUUUGUCACCAUAAACAUUAUAUAAAUAAUCAUCAUUAUAAGUUAUUCAAGCUAUAAGUAUGAGUUUUUCAAGCCUAAACACAAAUAAACAAGAAUUAAAAUUUUUUCGUAAAACAUUAAAACAAUCUAAAAAAUUUCUUCUAAAUUUAAAAAUAGACUCUAACAUAUCAAUAAUAAAUUGUAUAUCUAAUAUUGAAGCAAUACAUAUAAUAAAUAAUAGUAUAAAUUGGAAACAAGAACAAAUAAAAAACCUUGAAGAUAAGAUAACAAAAUUAAUUUGUUCAAUAAGUUUUUUUAAAAAAAAAGCGUUAAUAAUAACUAAUUCACUAAGAAAAUGAAACUAAAAUUUUUAUUAUAUAUGGAAACUUUACAAGAAAAAGUAGAAACACUAACUAAAUUAUUUGCAGCAUUAGAAAUUCCGUCUGAAAUUUAAGAAAAUAAUAUAAUAGAAAAUAAUUCAGAUAAUGAUGACGCAGAAGUAAUAUAUGAUUUUUCUUCAGAUGAUGAAAACCCUUAUUUAAAUCCAUAUAGAGAUUCACAACACAAUUUUGGAUUAAAACGAAAACAAUCAUAUGUUGAAGAUGAUUAUCAAAGUCAAUAUAUAUAUGGACCACCUUCGUUAGAAGAAAAUUUUUUAUAUAGACAAGGAAUGGUCAAAAAUAAACAAAAUAAAUGGGAAAAAAUACCUCCACAAUAUAUACCUAAACUAUUUACUUUUCCAACAAAUUCAGAUAUUCUUUUUAUUGAUUGUGAGCAAAAUCCCGAAGCAAAAAUUCAAGAAUGGAGUAAUAAAAUGGGAAUUCAAAUUCAACUAACUGAAGAAUUAAGAAAUCUACAUCCAAAAAAUUUUCUUAAUUAUAUUAUACAUAAAACACAGGGCAAUGCAUAUCGUUUCCUUUCAUCUCUCGAUGAAACAGAGACGAUGAUGAUAGCUACCACUGACGCCAUGGAAACAUUUAAAAAUGUAUUAAAUCGGCUUAUUCAAGAAUUCAUAGGAAAACAAAUAGAAGAUAAAACAUCUCAAGAAGCUUUUCAAUUAGAAUCAUUAUUGCAUCUAACUAAUUUACGAAUUUGUAACAUGUGUUAUUUAGACCCAUUUAUAUGCGAAUAUUCUGAACAUUAUUAUAAUCUGGAUUUUACUAGAAAAAAGAUAGCAUUAGACAUGUUUUACCAAAAAUUACCAUCAUUAGUAAGUCAAAGUGUAAUAAAAGAUUUCCAAGAAGCAUUACAACAAAAUAAAAUUGCAGAUACCUUAGGAGCAAGGAUAAGUAUAUUAAAGCAUGGAUGCAAAAAAAAUGUUUAUAACAAAAAACAACACAAGAUGCAAGAAUUGAUUUAUGUUGUGAUACCCUAUCUAAUAAAGUUAAUCAAUAUGGUUGUAAAGAUAAUAAGAAACAAAAAUAUAAAAAGAAAAUUUGGAAAAAACAAACUUAUAAACCUAAAUAUAAACAAUAUUAUAAACAAGGUGAAAGAAAAUAUUUUCGAGACAGAAAACAAUAUAAGAAACAAAUAUCAAUCUAACACAAAUUACUGUCCAUCUAAUAAAAAAGAUUGUAAAUGUUGGAUAUGUCAAGAAGACGGACACAAAGCCUACGAAUGUCCAAAAAAGACUAAAAAAGAAAAAGAAACAAACUUACUAAAAAUUGCAUAUGAUCUCGGGUAUGAACCUAUAGAAGAUUCAGGGAUAGAUUCAGAUAUAGAUAUUUAUGCAUAUACAACUGAUACUGAUUCUGAUUCAGGUAAAUAGUCCUAUGAAGAAAGCAUUAUUGGGUUUAGAACAUGAGGGAAACCUCAUAUCUAACCUAUCCAAAGUAUACAUUGCUAAAGCAUAUAUUGGUAUGAAAAUACCAUCCAAAGUAAACAAUGAUAAAGUAUACAGUGAUAUGAAAAUAUCACCAAAGCAUACAUUGAUAUGAAAAUUCUCAUAUCAUCAUUUAAAAUAUUAAAAGCAAGCAUCAUUUAGCAAUCAUUCAGGUACCCAAAAGGCGCAAAUAUUCACUCAGCAAAAAUAUUGAAAUGGAAGCCAUCAUGAAGCAAGUCAAACACCCGCUCAAACAAAAAGAGGAGCAAGAGGCAUCAUUAAUCAGACAGCUUGAAGUAGUCAAACGUGAAAAAGAGCAACUACAACAAACAAUACAAAUUCUAUCAUCUUGUUCAGCAUCUAAAGAAGAAGCAGCCAACAGCUCAACAACAAAGCAACCUAAAGAAGAAAUUCAAGAAAUAUCAUCCGAUGAAAGUCAACAAACCAUGACGCCAAACCAUGAGGAAUAUCCACCACUACAAGCAGAUCAUAAAAAUAUAAAGAAAUGGUACGUAAUUUUCAACGGAGAAAACAAAGGAGUAUAUGACGAUUGGGGAAUCGCUAGUUCAUAUAUUCUUGGAAAAAAUAUCAUUCACAAAAGCUACAGAACGAAAAAUGAAGCAGAAACCGCAUACAACGAAGCAUACAAAGCAGUAAUAACAGAUAACGUCAAAUGUUCAAAAACAGUUCUCCUAACACCACAAAAAUCUACAUCCAGCUUCACACCACAAAAACCCGUAUCCAUCCCAAGAUCCCUUAACCAAUUAAAUGCAAAAAUUGCUCUUGAAUCCAUUCUAUCAACAAAAGAAAAAGAAGCCAUGAAAAAACCAUCUGCCAAAAAAUUUGCCGAAUUAUGGGACAGCCUCAUUUCAUACACCGAGGUCCAUUCUUUGAUGGGCUUUUACCCAGUAGCCAGACGCCCAGGUCCUAAAGCAGUCUUCUUAGCCGACCUAUCAGAUCCUAUGACUUUAUGGGAUUAUUUUAUUCAUGGAUUCAUCGACACCAUCUAUCUAGAAGGCACCAAUUUACAUUGCGUCAGCGAGUUCCCUUCUGCUGUGCAAACUAUCAUCAGAAAUUAUAAAAUACGAUUUGCAAAACAGGAAAGAGGAUUAUUCAUUAAAAUGCAUUCUAGCUACCCAAUUUUUGAUGAAGACUCUCAACUAAUUGUCCCAAGUAUUACUUUCGCAAACAUGGGAAUAAGCAAUGGCUCAAAACCAACAAAAGAUGAUCUACCACGAGAAUCACCAACACAGGAUCACCUAAUCUUUGCACUCGCCGGUGUCUAUUUAGCAUCAUCACGCAUAGGCAACGGUAAAGAUCAGAAAUCAAGAAUCAGAGUGAACUACGCCAGUAAAACUUUCAUUAUCUAUUCGUUAACAGACAGUGAAAUCACUCCGGAAGCAAUGAAAGCAAUUGAAACUUUCGAACAACCUUUCGAAAAGUUUUCUCAUCAAUUAGCUGAAUUACCUGCUGAUAGCAAAAAACAACUUUGCAAACAUAUUAUGCAUGCAUCAAGACACAAUUGCAGUCACUGUUUAGAAAACACAGAAGAAACACCAUUCAUGGAAGAUUAACGAUGAAAGAAAAAAUUAUUCAAAAAUAUGUCUUUUCGGAGGCGGGAGGAAUGACGUAAGCAAUAACGUAAAAAGCCAUAAUUGAAGACACCUGUCCUUUCAUGAAAGGGAUUAUUAUAUUUUUCAUUAUGUAAAGUGUCGGUAGAAGGAUUGUUAUGUAAUUAAAUAAGUGUCGGUAGAAUAAUUAUUAAGUGUCGGUUGAUGUAACAUAAAGUGUAUAACCCUCAAUAGUCUAGGGGGCUAUAAUGUAAAUAUAUAUGUCGUAUUGUAAUCAAACGAUUGCAACAAUAAUUGUAACCGGCUCUCUUGAGCCUAUAAAUAGGGCCUUUUCCCAAAUGAAAUAACAAGCUAAGUUUGAGUGUUUAAGACUUGAGUUGAUCUCAAUUGUCUUCUCUGUUGAAAUAGUUGUUCUAUUUCUGAAUAGCAGAGUUCUAUCCAAAUUAUCCACAUAAUUAUCUAAUCAUUCAACACAAUCCAUCAUCAAUAUAAUCCAACGCAUCAUUCAGGUAUAAUCUUCUCUUAAUCUUUAUUAAUUUCGUCAUGUUAUUAAAUUUGGUAUGAAUUAAUAAAGAUUAAGAGAAGAUUAUACCUGAAUGAUGCGUUGGAUUAUAUUGAUGAUGGAUUGUGUUGAAUGAUUAGAUAAUUAUGUGGAUAAUUUGGAUAGAACUCUGCUAUUCAGAAAUAGAACAACUAUUUCAACAGAGAAGACAAUUGAGAUCAACUCAAGUCUUAAACACUCAAACUUAGCUUGUUAUUUCAUUUGGGCAAAGGCCCUAUUUAUAGGCUCAAGAGAGCCGGUUACAAUUAUUGUUGCAAUCGUUUGAUUGCAAUACGACAUAUAUAUUUACAUUAUAGCCCCCUAGACUAUUGAGGGUUAUACACUUUAUGUUACAUUAACCGACACUUAAUAAUUAUUCUACCGACACUUAUUUAAUUACAUAACAAUCCUUCUACCGACACUUUACAUAAUGAAAAAUAUAAUAAUCUCUUUCAUGAAAGGACAGGUGUCUUCAAUUAUGGCUUUUUACGUUAUUGCUUACAUCAUUCCUCCCGCCUCCGAAAAGACAUAUUUUUGAAUAAUUUUUUCUUUCAUCGUUAAUCUUCCAUGAAUGGUGUUUCUUCUGUGUUUUCUGAACAGUGACUGCAAUUGUGUCUUGAUGCAUGCAUAAUAUGUUUGCAAAGUUGUUUUUUGCUAUCAGCAGGUAAUUCAGCUAAUUGAUGAGAAAACUUUUCGAAAGGUUGUUCGAAAGUUUCAAUUGCUUUCAUUGCUUCCGGAGUGAUUUCACUGUCUGUUAACGAAUAGAUAAUGAAAGUUUUACUGGCGUAGUUCACUCUGAUUCUUGAUUUCUGAUCUUUACCGUUGCCUAUGCGUGAUGAUGCUAAAUAGACACCGGCGAGUGCAAAGAUUAGGUGAUCCUGUGUUGGUGAUUCUCGUGGUAGAUCAUCUUUUGUUGGUUUUGAGCCAUUGCUUAUUCCCAUGUUUGCGAAAGUAAUACUUGGGACAAUUAGUUGAGAGUCUUCAUCAAAAAUUGGGUAGCUAGAAUGCAUUUUAAUGAAUAAUCCUCUUUCCUGUUUUGCAAAUCGUAUUUUAUAAUUUCUGAUGAUAGUUUGCACAGCAGAAGGGAACUCGCUGACGCAAUGUAAAUUGGUGCCUUCUAGAUAGAUGGUGUCGAUGAAUCCAUGAAUAAAAUAAUCCCAUAAAGUCAUAGGAUCUGAUAGGUCGGCUAAGAAGACUGCUUUAGGACCUGGGCGUCUGGCUACUGGGUAAAAGCCCAUCAAAGAAUGGACCUCGGUGUAUGAAAUGAGGCUGUCCCAUAAUUCGGCAAAUUUUUUGGCAGAUGGUUUUUUCAUGGCUUCUUUUUCUUUUGUUGAUAGAAUGGAUUCAAGAGCAAUUUUUGCAUUUAAUUGGUUAAGGGAUCUUGGGAUGGAUACGGGUUUUUGUGGUGUGAAGCUGGAUGUAGAUUUUUGUGGUGUUAGGAGAACUGUUUUUGAACAUUUGACGUUAUCUGUUAUUACUGCUUUGUAUGCUUCGUUGUAUGCGGUUUCUGCUUCAUUUUUCGUUCUGUAGCUUUUGUGAAUGAUAUUUUUUCCAAGAAUAUAUGAACUAGCGAUUCCCCAAUCGUCAUAUACUCCUUUGUUUUCUCCGUUGAAAAUUACGUACCAUUUCUUUAUAUUUUUAUGAUCUGCUUGUAGUGGUGGAUAUUCCUCAUGGUUUGGCGUCAUGGUUUGUUGACUUUCAUCGGAUGAUAUUUCUUGAAUUUCUUCUUUAGGUUGCUUUGUUGUUGAGCUGUUGGCUGCUUCUUCUUUAGAUGCUGAACAAGAUGAUAGAAUUUGUAUUGUUUGUUGUAGUUGCUCUUUUUCACGUUUGACUACUUCAAGCUGUCUGAUUAAUGAUGCCUCUUGCUCCUCUUUUUGUUUGAGCGGGUGUUUGACUUGCUUCAUGAUGGCUUCCAUUUCAAUAUUUUUGCUGAGUGAAUAUUUGCGCCUUUUGGGUACCUGAAUGAUUGCUAAAUGAUGCUUGCUUUUAAUAUUUUAAAUGAUGAUAUGAGAAUUUUCAUAUCAAUGUAUGCUUUGGUGAUAUUUUCAUAUCACUGUAUACUUUAUCAUUGUUUACUUUGGAUGGUAUUUUCAUACCAAUAUAUGCUUUAGCAAUGUAUACUUUGGAUAGGUUAGAUAUGAGGUUUCCCUCAUGUUCUAAACCCAAUAAUGCUUUCUUCAUAGGACUAUUUACCUGAAUCAGAAUCAGUAUCAGUUGUAUAUGCAUAAAUAUCUAUAUCUGAAUCUAUCCCUGAAUCUUCUAUAGGUUCAUAACCGAGAUCAUAUGCAAUUUUUAGUAAGUUUGUUUCUUUCUCUUUUUUAGUCUUUUUUGGACAUUCGUAGGCUUUGUGUCCGUCUUCUUGACAUAUCCAACAUUUACAAUCUUUUUUAUUAGAUGGACAGUAAUUUGUGUUAGAUUGAUAUUUGUUUCUUAUAUUGUUUUCUGUCUCGAAAAUAUUUUCUUUCACCUUGUUUAUAAUAUUGUUUAUAUUUAGGUUUAUAAGUUUGUUUUUUCCAAAUUUUCUUUUUAUAUUUUUGUUUCUUAUUAUCUUUACAACCAUAUUGAUUAACUUUAUUAGAUAGGGUAUCACAACAUAAAUCAAUUCUUGCAUCUUGUGUUGUUUUUUGUUCUAAACAUUUUUUCUGCAUCCAUGCUUUUAAUAUACUUAUCCUUGCUCCUAAGGUAUCUGCAAUUUUAUUUUGUUGUAAUGCUUCUUGGAAAUCUUUUAUUACACUUUGACUUACUAAUGAUGGUAAUUUUUGGUAAAACAUGUCUAAUGCUAUCUUUUUUCUAGUAAAAUCCAGAUUAUAAUAAUGUUCAGAAUAUUCGCAUAUAAAUGGGUCUAAAUAACACAUGUUACAAAUUCGUAAAUUAGUUAGAUGCAAUAAUGAUUCUAAUUGAAAAGCUUCUUGAGAUGUUUUAUCUUCUAUUUGUUUUCCUAUGAAUUCUUGAAUAAGCCGAUUUAAUACAUUUUUAAAUGUUUCCAUGGCGUCAGUGGUAGCUAUCAUCAUCGUCUCUGUUUCAUCGAGAGAUGAAAGGAAACGAUAUGCAUUGCCCUGUGUUUUAUGUAUAAUAUAAUUAAGAAAAUUUUUUGGAUGUAGAUUUCUUAAUUCUUCAGUUAGUUGAAUUUGAAUUCCCAUUUUAUUACUCCAUUCUUGAAUUUUUGCUUCGGGAUUUUGCUCACAAUCAAUAAAAAGAAUAUCUGAAUUUGUUGGAAAAGUAAAUAGUUUAGGUAUAUAUUGUGGAGGUAUUUUUUCCCAUUUAUUUUGUUUAUUUUUGACCAUUCCUUGUCUAUAUAAAAAAUUUUCUUCUAACGAAGGUGGUCCAUAUAUAUAUUGACUUUGAUAAUCAUCUUCAACAUAUGAUUGUUUUCGUUUUAAUCCAAAAUUGUGUUGUGAAUCUCUAUAUGGAUUUAAAUAAGGGUUUUCAUCAUCUGAAGAAAAAUCAUAUAUUACUUCUGCGUCAUCAUUAUCUGAAUUAUUUUCUAUUAUAUUAUUUUCUUAAAUUUCAGACGGAAUUUCUAAUGCUGCAAAUAAUUUAGUUAGUGUUUCUACUUUUUUUUGUAAAGUUUUCAUAUAUAAUAAAAAUUUUAGUUUCUUUUUCUUAGUGAAUUAGUUAUUAUUAACGCUUUUUUUUUUUUAAAACUUAUUGAACAAAUUAAUUUUGUUAUCUUAUCUUCAAGGUUUUUUAUUUGUUCUUGUUUCCAAUUUAUACUAUUAUUUAUUAUAUGUAUUGCUUCAAUAUUAGAUAUACAAUUUAUUAUUGAUAUGUUAGAGUCUAUUUUUAAAUUUAGAAGAAAUUUUUUAGACUGUUUUAAUGUUUUACGAAAAAAUUUUAAUUCUUGUUUAUUUGUGUUUAGGCUUGAAAAACUCAUACUUAUAGCUUGAAUAACUUAUAAUGAUGAUUAUUUAUAUAAUGUUUAUGGUGACAAAUAAAGACGGUCAUACUAAGGAUAGAAAUAAUAGUACAAAUGAAUGCUUAUUAAUAUUUAGAAGUUAUAUGUUUUAAAAUACAAAUAAUUUUGUUUUUAGAUGACGUAUUUGCUUGUAACGAAUUUUAAUACUAGUUUUUAUAAAAUAUCUAACAUCAUGAAUAUAGUUAUUGUUUAAAACCGUACCUUGAUUUUGAGGUUUGUAGGAAUCUUUGAGAUUUUGCUUAGAAUUAUUUAUAGAUUCAUGGAUUUGUUGUAUUUUUAAAAUAAUAUUUCUAUUAGGAAUACAAUUCAUCAAUAUUUUAUUAGACAUAAAUAUAUAUUUUAAGCAUGAAUUUGAUUAAUUUGAUUAUUAUUAAGAACGAGUAUUAUUUUAAUAAAAUUUCAAAUUUUGUAAAAACUCGAAAUGAUAUUAUCAUGGAGAAAUAAAAGUAAUAUAAUGAUUGAAAAUAUCUUUAGACAUAUUUAUGAUAUUAAAUCUUCUUAUGAUAAAUAUCUUAGUUGUUGGUGAUGACUUUUUAAAUAUGAGUAUUUAAAAACAAUGAUCUUUCAUUAUUAUGUUUACGAUGUUGCAUAUGUUUAUUUUCUUAUUGACGAUAGAUUGAAUAUGUAAAAUAAUAAGAACGUUACUUAGCUCUAUACCAAAUUUAAUAACAUGACGGAAUUAAUAAAGAUUAAGAGAAGAUUAUACCUGAAUGAUGCGUUGGAUUAUAUUGAUGAUGGAUUGUGUUGAAUGAUUAGAUAAUUAUGUGGAUAAUUUGGAUAGAACUCUGCUAUUCAGAAAUAGAACAACUAUUUCAACAGAGAAGACAAUUGAGAUCAACUCAAGUCUUAAACACUCAAACUUAGCUUGUUAUUUCAUUUGGGCAAAGGCCCUAUUUAUAGGCUCAAGAGAGCCGGUUACAAUUAUUGUUGCAAUCGUUUGAUUGCAAUACGACAUAUAUAUUUACAUUAUAGCCCCCUAGACUAUUGAGGGUUAUACACUUUAUGUUACAUUAACCGACACUUAAUAAUUAUUCUACCGACACUUAUUUAAUUACAUAACAAUCCUUCUAUCGACACUUUACAUAAUGAAAAAUAUAAUAAUCUCUUUCACAUUGAAAUGACAGGUGUCUUCAAUAAUGUCUUCAAUUAUGGCUUUUUACGUUAUUGCUUACGUCAUUGUGUUAUUAUUUGUCCGUAGAAUGUGACGUAAAUAUUGUGUAGGUAAAAUUAAAAUAAAGUGUGUAACCCUCAGUAGUCUAGGGAGUUAUAUUGUAAAUAUGUAUGUCGUUUUGCAAUCAAACGAUUGUAACUCAAUUAUGUAAUCGACUCUCUUGAGCCUAUAAAUAGGGUCUUUGCCCGUAUGAAAUAAACAAGCGAAGUUUGAGUAUCUAAGACUUGAGUUGAAUCUCAAAGUUCUUCUUCUGUUGAAAUAAUUGUUCUAUUUCUGAAUAGCAGAACCCUAUCCAAACAUACCCAAGAUUAUCCAUAUAAUCAUUCUUAUAAUUUAAACAACGCAUCCCGACGCAUCAUUCAUGUAUAAUCCUAUCCUAACUUUUUCUAUUAAUUCCGUUAUGUUUUUAAAAUUGGUAUCAGAGCUAAGUUUCAUUCUUAUCAUUAUGAAUAUUCAUACGUUCGUUCAUAAGAAAAAAUAUUCAUUAUGC
rnacentral:lncRNA from 1 species